GUCUAUAGCCAUGCCAACCUGAAUGUGCCUGAUCUUGUCUCGGAAGCUAAGCAGGGUCGGGCCUGGUUAGUACUUGGAUGGGAGACCACCUAGGAAUACAGGUGCUGUAGGUG
rnacentral:rRNA from 1 species